UGGAAACCCCUAAACCAAACCCCAACCUGAAAGAAAGAAAGAAAGAAAGAAUUCAAUGUCACUACAACGAACAGAUUCAAUACAGCCCGUAGAAGAAGAAGACAUAGAAAUUGAACAGCCAACAGCUCAAAACCCUAAUGCCCCGCCCGACGAGUUAUUUGACAUCUCAACCACGGUCGACCCUAGUUAUGUUAUAUCCUUAAUACGGAAACUUGUUCCAUCCACCAUGAAUGCUUCUUCUGACAUCACAACAAAUGGAACCUUGGUAUCACAAUCCCAAGAUAACUUUAUUCAAAACAAAUGUCAGACCAUAGACAAGCAGGAAGGAAGGGAUGCUGCUGAUGAUGUUUGUAAUGAUCGAAAAGCCGCGGUUGGAGAUGAUGCCUGGGAAGAACAUGGAUGUGUGUUAUGGGAUUUAGCUACAAGUAGAACCCAUGCUCAACUUAUGGUUGAAAAUCUGAUUCUUGAUGUCAUAUUGGCUACUCUUAUGGUUUCCCAGUCACCUCGUGUCACGGAGAUUAGCCUUGGCAUUUUGGGGAACCUUGCUUGCCAUGAGGCAUUACGAAAAGAAAUUGUCUCUGUAAAAGGACUGGUUGAAUUAGUUGUGGAUCAGUUGUUUGUAGAUGACACUCCAUGCUUGUGUGAAGAAUUCAGGUUGUUAACUUUAUGUCUUCAAGGUAGUGAAGGUCUAACUUGGGCCCAGGCUUUGCAGCCUGAGAAUGUCCUCUCUCGUGUAUUAUGGGUUGUUGAAAAUACUAUGAAUCCGCAGCUUAUAGAAAAGAGCGCAGGUUUUCUUCUCACUAUAUCAGAAAGUCAGGAUGAUAUAAGAGCCAAUCUCCUCCCCCACUUGUUGAAAUUAGGUCUUCCAGCCGUUCUAGUUAAUCUCUUGGCUUUUGAGAUCAGCAAACUGGUGGGAGAUGAGAGACUGCCUGAAAGGUACUCUGUUCUUGAGACUAUUCUUCGGGUUAUUGAAGCACUCACUGUAAUUGACAGUUGCUCCCAAGAACUUUCUUCCAGCAAGAAACUUCUUCACCUACUUGGCACUCUGAUAAAAUUUGCUGAUAAAAUUGAGGUGGCCACCUCAUGUGUUACUGCUGCUGUUCUAACAGCCAAUCUUUUGAGUGACUUCGAUGACCUGAUUUUAGAGAUAUAUCAAGAUCUGCUUUUCUUACAGGGUUUACUGGAUAUCUUCCCUUUUGCUUCGGAUGAUAUUGAAGCCAGAAAUGCACUAUGGGACAUAAUCUCAAGAUUAUUGACUCAAGUUCAAAAGGGGGAGACUAGCCCUUCAAAUCUUCAUCAAUACACAUCAAUUCUAGCAAGUAAAUCAGACUUGAUUGAAGAAGAGCUCCUUGAUCACCAGUUAGCUGCUUCAAGUAACAAUCAAGAAAAUUCGAUCGCCUCCUGCAGGAAUCUACAAAUAAGAACUGCAGCGCUAAAAAGAAUUGACUCUAUUUUAAGUCAGUGGUUGGCAUCAAAGGAUCAGGUUGGCACUACCAGUUUUGUGAUGGAAUAUCCAGUUAAUGAACGAGAUCUUGAUAGAUUAAAGGACUGCUGUCGUAAAUAUAGCAAUGCUUUUGGGCCGAGCUGCAUAGAGGGUUUGGAGGAGAGGCAGCAAGCGCUGCGGGCGGAGCAGCAAACGCUCAUUGUUCAUGGUCGCCUGGGAGACUAGAAUUGAUGCUGCUAUUCCUGUGACAGUUUCAUCAGCGAACAGUAGCAGUAGCAGGUUUCUACUUAUCUUUUCACUGGAAUUUGGUCAAAUGCAUUCAAUUGAAUUCGUAAACGUUCAAAAUACACCAGAGUUCUAUUUGAAACCACCAAAUGCUAACGCUUGAGACCACUAAAUUAUAUCAGAUAACAAACAACUAACUGCCUUCGGAAUACCCAGAAAUGCUGGUGCAAUGUUCAUGAUUGCUUUGAUAUGCUUGGCACACCACCCUGGACCGCCACCACCGCCCAUUGGAGGAGGGGCUUCCACCCAUUUAAGGAAGUGUAAGAAGUAGUUAACACCCAUCGAGUGUGGAACCACAACCACUUUAUUGUUGCCAUUUGUCACAUACAUUAGCUCAAUGUUGAUUUUCAGUCUAGUAAGUGUUUGAUCCCU